AGGGAUGUAGCUCAGUAGUAGAGCGCACGCUUCGCUUGUGUGAGGCCUGGGUUCAAUCCCCAGUACCUCCU
rnacentral:tRNA from 1 species